GGGCUACAAAAAGAGCUGUCCUCAGAAAUGCAUAGGUCAGAAGCCUAAAGAAGGCAAAUAUCACGAAUUCUACCUGAAUGCCCCCACAACUUACAAUCAAACAAGAUGAAGAUGGAGAACGGCUGUGGCCACAGUUUGGAAGCAUGCUUAGGAAAGCCUCUGAAUGGUCAUAUCCAAUAUCCGUGUUAUGUGGAAUUGUUGAUGUCCUUAAGUCCAGCAGAAGACAUCACGGCCCAGCUGUAAGCAUCAGACCAGCUUCUAACAACCUCAAGGUCUA
rnacentral:lncRNA from 1 species